AGAGCUUGAAUCUGAGAACAUCAGUCACAGCUGAGGACAGCACACAAGGACCAACAAAAAUUAUUGCACCCAAAAAAUAAAAAUCACCAAGAAGAUCACAAUGUUUACCAAAAUUUGUUUUGUUCUUCUUCUGCUUGCUGCCUCUUCAAACGGACAGGGGGCCGUCACAUCCGCACCAACGACAACAACCACCACACCAACAACAACAACCACCACACCAACAACAACAACCACCACACCAA